UUUCACACAAGCAACUCCAUUCUUUCACUUACAGAGUGGACCUCUUUCUGCUCUUCAGUGAGACUGUUCAUGUGAAUAAGGAGGAAAGGAAACUGCUGUUGAAUAGUAAGAUGCAUGGAACCUCUGCUUUUCUUUAUAGUCGUAUAUUUGCACUUUUCUCCAGGAAAGAAAAACAGCUUGUAACAGAGACUGCAAGUUCUUUGGGUGGAACAAGCCUACUAUCUUCCUGCUAUGAUCCCUUUCUUCCUGUGCAUCCAAACCUAUGGAAGCCACAAUGAGCUGGUGUCCCUGGACUCUUCCUAUUUCCAUAUUUCAGCUGAUAGUCCAUGUGGGAUCAUGAAAGAUGCCAUAGUGACAACCCUGCAGUCUGAAAUCCUGCAUCUAUCCACUGAAUUCAUGCAGCAGUAGCAGAGCAAGCAUUCCUGCACCAACCUGCUAAUGCCAAUUCACCACCACCCUGGCCAGAAAUGAACAUUUCUAAUCUGAAGAAGAUAAAUCCAUCUCCAUGGACCAUUCAGUCAGUGCUCAGGCAAAUGUAAUUCUUGCAUGCAAAAGAUAUCUUUGUUCUA